rnacentral:snoRNA from 1 species
UAUCCAUGGUGGGGGCAGUCACAUUCAUACUCUUUAAAAGGCUCCCAGGCUUCAUAGAAAGGUUCGGCCGGUCCUUGCUGGAAACUUGAGAUCUUGGUUCUCCGUAA